rnacentral:misc_RNA from 1 species
CUCAUGCAACUUUAAACUGAUUCUCUUUACCAAAUCUUCCCUAGGCAAAUCAUCCACUCCAACAAAUAUGGCAAUUUUCAACAAUUUCAGCAAUAAACUACAUGGACAGCCUACACCCUUGUCCGAAGNNNNNNNNNNNNNAGUGUUUCCACCAGAUAUUUGUACUUCCAAGUACAACCAUCAGAAACCAAUUCAUCAAAUGUAUCUGGCAACCAUCUGACUGCAUAAGUUUUCAGUGCCUCCCCAAUAACUGUACCAUCCAUUCUUCCCUUUGAUUUAAC